rnacentral:rRNA from 1 species
AAAGUCGUAACAAGGUUUCCGUAGGUGAACCUGCGGAAGGAUCAUUACUGAACUGUUGACACGAGCUGUUGCUGGUCCUCAAUGAGGGGGCAUGUGCACGCUCUGUUUACAAAUCCACUCACACCUGUGCACCCUUUGUAGUUCUAUAUGGUCUGGGGGACAUGCUGUCUUCCUCCUGUAGCUCUACGUUUUUACACAUACACCGUAGCAAAGUCUUAUGGAAUGUGCACCGCGUCUAACGCAAUACAAUACAACUUUCAGCAACGGAUCUCUUGGCUCUCGCAUCGAUGAAGAACGCAGCGAAAUGCGAUAAGUAAUGUGAAUUGCAGAAUUCAGUGAAUCAUCGAAUCUUUGAACGCACCUUGCGCCCCUUGGCUACUCCGAGGGGCAUGCCUGUUUGAGUAUCAUGAACACCUCAACUCUCAUGGUUCGCCGUGAUGAGCUUGGACUUCUGGAGGUUUUGCUGGCCUUUGGUCAGCUCCUCUCAAAUGUAUCAGCUUGCCAGUGUUUGGUGGCGUCAUGGGUGUGAUAACUAUCUACGCUUGUGGCUGUCUGUCAGGUAACCUUCAGCGAUGGAGGUUCGCUGGAGCUCACAAAAGUCUCUCCUCAGUGAAGACAGCUUUUUGUACGUUCGAUCUCAAAUCAGUAGGACUACCCGCUGAACUUAAGCA